GUCCCCUUCGUCUAGUGGCUUAGGACAUCGGCCUCUCACGCCGAAAACAGGGGUUCGACUCCCCUAGGGGACGCCA
rnacentral:tRNA from 1 species